rnacentral:lncRNA from 1 species
GCCAAGGAAUGUACAGUAUGAAACUGUCUCCCUCAACCACUCAAUAAAUCUCCCAAAGUACAGCAAACAUCUGUGACUCUAAUGAGGUCAUCAUUGAGGGUGUCCAGAGAGCCGGGCCCUGAGAACUGACCUCACCUCUGCCUCAGCGUAAAGUACAAGUGCUGUGAGGAAGCAGGACAAAUUCAAUGGGGGAGCUGGCACUCUGCUGUAAGUUAAGCUCUUAAGAAACUUUGCUGUGAUUAAAAAAAGAGAGGGCAAGGGAGAGGGAGA